CCUACGGGUGGCAGCAGUGAGGAAUAUUGGUCAAUGGACGGAAGGCUGAACCAGCCAUGCCGCGUGAAGGUCAGUGCCCUAUGGGCGUUAAACUUCUUUUGUGCGGGAGCAAUAAUGGUCACGUGUGGCCAGACGAGAGUACCGUACGAAUAAGCAUCGGCUAACUCCGUGCCAGCCGCCGCGGUAAUACGGGGGAUGCAAUCGUUAUCCGGAUUGAUUGGGGUUAAAGGGUGCGUAGGCUGGGAGGUAAGUCAGCGGUGAAAUGCCCCCGCUCAACGGGGUGAAGUGCCAUUGAUACGGCCUUGCUGGAAUGCGGAUGCCGUGGGAGGAAUGUGUGGUGUAGCGGUGAAAUGCAUAGAUAUCACACAGAACACCGAUUGCGAAGGCAUCUCACGAAGCCGCGAUUGACGCUGAUGCACGAAAGCGGGGGUAUCAAACAGGAUUAGAUACCCCUGUAGUC
rnacentral:rRNA from 1 species